ACCCCCUGCCGUGCCCGGCCCAAACAAAACACAACAUCGACAAAACGCCCCGUCAAGCAAUUUGCUGUAAGACAACCAAGGAAAUCGUUUCAACCACUAAAACCAAGACUUGGCUCCCAAGCAUUCUUUAAUAUGAGAUAUUUCUGGGACGGCUCAAUUUCAGAAACAUUAACAUAAUGGCCAAUAUCCAUUUCGCUGACAUUGGCAUUCUCGGUAUUCACAUUGGCAUUCUCGGUAUUCACAUUGGCAAUCUCGGUAUUCACAUUGGCAAUCUCGGUAUUCACAUUGGCAAUCUCGGUAUUCACAGACAGCUACACCUGAUGACGCCGCGUACUCACUUUCCAAAACCUUACACGAUUUCGCAGUUUUAUUUGAUGUACUGCUGGCGUUAUCAGACGGAGAAAAAAAGGACGAGAUGGCUGCCUGUCUACGGAUGGUUUUCUUUGCUGGCAUUUUUCUUAACUUGAUCGAUAUUUCGCUUAUUAAAUAAAUACUUUCGUUUAUGAAAUAAAUACAAGUAAGUUCA